rnacentral:rRNA from 1 species
AUUGAACGCUGGCGGCAGGCCUAACACAUGCAAGUCGAGCGGAUGAAGGGAGCUUGCUCCUGGAUUCAGCGGCGGACGGGUGAGUAAUGCCUAGGAAUCUGCCUGGUAGUGGGGGAUAACGUCCGGAAACGGGCGAUAAUACCGCAUAAGUCCUGAGGGAGUAAGGGGGGGAUCUUCGGACCUUACGCUAUCAGAUGAGCCUAGGUCGGAUUAGCUAGUUGGUGGGGUAAAGGCCUACCAAGGCGACGAUCCGUAACUGGUCUGAGAGGAUGAUCAGUCACACUGGAACUGAGACACGGUCCAGACUCCUACGGGAGGCAGCAGUGGGGAAUAUUGGACAAUGGGCGAAAGCCUGAUCCAGCCAUGCCGCGUGUGUGAAGAAGGUCUUCGGAUUGUAAAGCACUUUAAGUUGGGAGGAAGAGCAGUAAGUUAAUACCUUGCUGUUUUGACGUUACCAACAGAAUAAGCACCGGCUAACUUCGUG